GAUGAAGAACGUAGCGAAAUGCGAUACGUAGUGUGAAUUGCAGAAUUCAGUGAAUCAUCGAAUCUUUGAACGCACAUUGCACCUCUCGGUAUUCCGGGAGGUAUGCCUGUUCGAGCGUCAUUUGUACCCUCAAGCUCUGCUUGGUGUUGGGUGUUUGUUCCGCCUCUGUGUGUGAACUCGCCUCAAAACAAUUGGCAGCCGGCGUACUUGUUUCGGAGCGCAGCACAUUUUGCGAUCCAGAUCAACGUACAGCGGCAUCCAAGAAGCCUUAUUUAACGCUCUUGACCUCGGAUCAGGUAGGGAUACCCGCUGAACUUAAGCAUAUCAAUAAGCGGGGGA
rnacentral:misc_RNA from 1 species